CCUACGGGAGGCAGCAGUGAGGAAUAUUGGUCAAUGGUCGGGAGACUGAACCAGCCAAGCCGCGUGAGGGAUGAAGGUACAGAGUAUCGUAAACCUCUUUUGUCAGGGAACAAAGGCGGGGACGUGUCCCCGGAUGAGUGUACCUGAAGAAAAAGCAUCGGCUAACUCCGUACCAGCAGCCGCGGUAAUACGGAGGAUGCGAGCGUUAUCCGGAUUUAUUGGGUUUAAAGGGUGCGCAGGCGGUCUGUUAAGUCAGCGGUCAAAGCCCGGGGCUCAACCCCGGCCCGCCGUUGAAACUGGCAGUCGCGAGUUGGAGAGAAGUAUGCGGAAUGCGCGGUGUAGCGGUGAAAUGCAUAGAUAUCGCGCAGAACUCCGAUUGCGAAGGCAGCAUGCCGGCUCCACACUGACGCUGAGGCACGAAAGCGUGGGUAUCGAACAGGAUUAGAUACCCGUGUAGUC
rnacentral:rRNA from 1 species